rnacentral:tRNA from 1 species
GGAUUGUGGCUCAGUGGCAGAGUGCUUGCCUCUCAUGUAGGAGGCACUGGGUUCGAUUCUCAGCACCA